UAAAAAGUUGUUAAAGCGCACAUAACGAAUGCCUUGACAUAAGACACCGAAGAAGGACGCGAAAGGCUGCGAUAAGCUGCGGGGAGUCGCCAAAUGGACUUUGAACCGUAGAUUUCCGAAUGGGGAAACCCGGACUGGGUAAUGCUAGUUCACUCAUAUCUGAAUAUAUAGGAUAUGUAGAGGUAAGCUCUCGAACUGAAACAUCUUAGUAGGGAGAGGAAAAGAAAGUAAACAACGAUUCUGGUAGUAGUGGCGAGCGAAUCCAGAAGAGCCUAAACCUUUUAGGUUUCCGCCUGUUGGCGGAUAAGUAGACAGACGAAUAUCUAACGGGGGUUGCGAGAAUUAAAUAACCAGGCCAGAGUAUUUAAUAUUAAAUAGUCUGGUUAGGCUGUACGAUCUGUCUUCCAAGCGUACAUAAGAUUUAUAGCGAAGCGAGCAGAAGUAGCUGGAAAGCUACACCAUAGACGGUGAAAGUCCGGUAUGUGAAGCGUCGCUAGUCUUAUCAUUUGAUUUCUCAAGUAGGUCGGGACACGAGAAAUCCUGACUGAAGCUAGGACGACCACGUCCUAAGGCUAAAUAUGUCUUGUGAUCGAUAGCGAACAAGUACCGUGAGGGAAAGGUAAAAAGUACCCCGGAAGGGGAGUGAAAUAGAACCUGAAAUUGUGUGCGUACAAGGAGUCGGAGCCCUUCGGGGUGACGGCGUGCUUUUUGUAGAACGAUCCAGCGAGUUACUAAUAAGCGCAAGCUUAAGGUGUUACACCGGAGGCGUAGUGAAAGCGAGCCUGAAUCAGGGCUAAUUAAGUGUUUAUUGGUAGACCCGAAACCAGGUGACCUAACCAUGGGCAGGUUGAACCGUAGGUAAAACUACGUGGAGGACCGCACCAGGGAGAAUUGCAAAACUCUUGGAUGACCUGUGGUUAGCGGUGAAAUGCCAAUCGAACCUGGAGAUAGCUGGUUCUCCUCGAAAUAGCUUUGGGGCUAGCGUUGUGUAUAGUAGCGAGUGGGGGUAGAGCUCUGUUUUGGACUGGGGCCCGUGAGGGUACCCACCCUUGACAAACUACGAAUACCGCUUGUGUAAUCACAGCAGUUAGAACGUCGGGGCUAAGCUCGGCGCUCGAAAGGGAAACAGCCCAGAUCACCAUCUAAGGUCCCUAAAUCUACGUUAAGUGGGAAACGAGGUGAGAUUUCUUAAACAAUGAGGAUGUUGGCUUAGAAGCAGCCAUUCAUUUAAAGAGUGCGUAACAGCUCACUCAUCAAGAGAUUUUGCGCGGAAAAUGUAACGGGGCUAAACGUAGUACCGAAGAUGUGAAUCCGACAAUCGUCGGAUGGUAGAGGAGCGUUGUUAUUAGCGCUGAAGCUAAACUGUGAGGUUUAGUGGAGCGGUAACAAGUGAGAAUGCUGGAAUGAGUAACCAUAAGGUAGGUGAGAAUCCUACCCACCGAAAGAGCGAGGUUUCCUGGGCCAUGUUAAUCAUCCCAGGGUUAGUCGGGCCUAAGCCGAGGCGGAUAGCGUAGGCGAUGGACAACGGGUUAAUAUUCCCGUACCGGUUUUUUGUUGCUAAUUGGUGCGCAGAAUGGUAGCCAGAGCAGUUUGAUGGUAUAACUGUCUAAGCGUCUAGUUCGGCUUAUGCCGAGUGAAGCGCGAAUGAAAGUACCGAUUUAUCGGUACGAUUCUGGUGAGCCAAGCUGACUAGAAAAGCCAUUUAGUGUAAAAAAUAACCGACCGUACCGUAAACCGACACAGGUGCUCAGGUCGAGUAGACCAAGGUGUACGAGAGAACCCUUCUUAAGGAACUCGGCAAUACAGCGACCGUAACUUAGGGAUAAGGUCUGCCUCGCCACAAUGCCAUUAUUAUUUGGAUAAUCUGCUUUUAGCUAUCAGCUGAAUAGACAGAAAAGCAAACCGGAUACCAAAUUAAUGAUGCUAUUGUGGCGAGGCCGCAGCUAAAGAGCCCAUGCAACUGUUUACUAAAAACAUAGGUCUCUGCUAACACGAAAGUGGAUGUAUAGGGGCUGACGCCUGCCCGGUGCUGGAAGGUUAAGGAGAGAGCUUCACGGCUUGAACUGAAGCCCCAGUGAACGGCGGCCCUAACUAUAAGGGUCCUAAGGUAGCGAAAUUCCUUGUCAGGUAAGUUCUGACCCGCACGAAUGGCGUAAUGAUAUGGGUACUGUCUCGAGAAGGGACUCGGUGAAAGUGCAUUGACGGUAAAGAUGCCGUCUGUCCGCAUCAGGACGAAAAGACCCCGUGGAGCUUUACUGCAGUUUGACAUUGGACCGGGCUGCUAUAUGUGUAGCAUAGGUGGGAGGCUGUGAAGCUCUGGCGCUAGCCAGAGUGGAGCCAUCGGUGAAAUACCACCCUUAUAGUAGUCUUGUUCUUACCCAGGCCGUUAUCCGGUUUGGGGACAGUGUCUGAUGGGUAGUUUAACUGGGGCGGUUGCCUCCUAAAGAGUAACGGAGGCGUUCAAAGGUUGGCUAGCUACGGAUGGAAAUCGUAGUGGUAGUGUAUACGCAUAAGCCAGCUUGACUGUGAGGCUUACAAGCCAAGCAGGCACGAAAGUGGGAGUAAGUGAUCCGUUGUCCAUACAAUUAUGUAUAUGAACGUGGGAUCGACAACGCAAUCGGAUAAAAGUUACCCCGGGGAUAACAGGCUAAUAGCGCCCAAUAGUUCACAUAGACGGCGCUGUUUGGCACCUCGAUGUCGGCUCAUCUCAUCCUGGGGCUGGAGCAGGUCCCAAGGGUCCGGCUGUUCGCCGGUUAAAGAGGUACGUGAGCUGGGUUUAGAACGUCGUGAGACAGUUCGGUUUAUAUCCGAUGUGGACGGUAGGAAAUGUGAAGAAAAUUGCUCCUAGUACGAGAGGACCGGAGUGAACGCACCUCUGGUGUGCCAGUUGUUGUGCCAUGCAGCAUUGCUGGGUAGCUAAGUGCGGUCUAGAUAAGCGCUGAAAGCAUAUUAAGCGCGAAGCUGAUUCUAAGAUUACAUUUCCCUAUGAGACCCCUGAAAGACUAUCAGGUUGAUAGGCGCAAGGUGCAAGCAUAGCAAUGUGUUAAGCUGAAGCGUACUAAUAGGUCCAGUGACUUUUUAUA
rnacentral:rRNA from 1 species